rnacentral:rRNA from 1 species
UACGGAGGGUGCGAGCGUUGUCCGGAAUCAUUGGGCGUAAAGGGCGCGUAGGUGGCCCGGUCAGUUCGUGGUGAAAGCGCGGGGCUCAACCCUGCGUCGGCCAUGAAUACUGCCGCGGCUGGAGCACUGUAGAGGCAGGCGGAAUUCCGGGUGUAGGCGGUGGAAUGCGUAGAGAUCCGGAAGAACACCGGUGGCGAAGGCGGCCUGACUGG